rnacentral:rRNA from 1 species
CCUACGGGAGACAGCAGUAGGGAAUUUUCGGCAAUGGGGGGAACCCUGACCGAGCAACGCUGCGUGAACGAAGAAGUUAUUCGUAAUGUAAAGUUCUUUUAACAGGGAAGAAAGAGAAAUUUGACGUUACCUGACGAAUAAUCUCCGUCUAACUACAUGCCAGCAGCCGCUGUAAUACUUCGGAAGCGAGCGUUAUCCGGAAUUAUUGGGCGAAAAGGGUGCGUAACUGGCAGAGUAAGUCUUUUGUAAAAAUGCUGGGCUAAACCCAGUAGGGCAAAAGAAACUGGAAAGCUAGAGUAUGAGAGAGGCAAGUGGAACUACAAGUGUAGCGGUAAAAUGCGUAAAUAUAUGUAAGAACACCAGUGGCGAAGGCGGCUUGCUGGGUCGAUACUGACAUUGAGGCACGAAAGCGUGGGGAGCAAACAGGAUUAGAUACCCUGGUAGUC